rnacentral:rRNA from 1 species
UACGUAGGGGGCAAGCGUUGUCCGGAUUUAUUGGGCGUAAAGAGCGUGUAGGCGGCUUUGCAAGUCCGUUGUGAAAUCUCGAGGCUCAACUUCGAGCUGUCGGUGGAAACUGUCUGGCUAGAGUCCGGAAGAGGAGAAUGGAAUUCCUGGUGUAGCGGUGAAAUGCGCAGAUAUCAGGAAGAACACCCGUGGCGAAGGCGGUUCUCUGGGACGGUACUGACGCUGAGACGCGAAAGCGUGGGGAGCGAACAGG